GAUGAUGAGGAAUCGUUUUUUUUUCUUCUUUUUUUCAUUUAGAGGUAAUUGGUGAUCAUUUCAUCAAAACCUUCCAAAGGUUUCCAUAUACAUUACAUAUACAAAAUAAUUAUUGUUGCUUCAUUUGAACUAAGCCUAAUGGAGGUUGUAAGAGGUCUUUUUGCCGGCUAUGCAACAGCGACCACUUCACACUCCUUUUUGGACCAAAGGUAGGGCUAUCUGAACUUCUAGUAAUCAUUUUAUUGUAAGAAAUGUGAAAUUGCAUUGAAAUUAUUUGUAUAAAUGUAUAUUAAUAUGAUCUACUACCUCUUCUGUUGUGUCUUCAGCAGUAUGUUCUGUGUUAUCUGGCUCAGUAUUGUACUCUGGUUUGUGUUUUGUUUUUGACAGGUCCAUUGCUGUGUCUGGAAUCAUCUGGAUGGUAUUGGUGCUGGUCUGUGUAACUUCUGGACUUUGUGAUGGCUGUGGCAGUACUUCAGGUGUGGAGGCUGGUGGCCCUUUCCAAAACUGCAGUAAUUGUUGAUGUAAUGGUGAUCAUCUUGAUGUACCUGGCAUGAUUGUCAUUUGGACAAGGGUCAAAGUGUGAACCACCUCAGGAAGGGAUGGGGGUUUUAUUGUUAUUAGCAUUGAUGUGAACACGAGCCAACAGCCACAUUUUA
rnacentral:lncRNA from 1 species